ACUCCUACGGGAGGCAGCAGUGGGGAAUUUUGGACAAUGGGGGCAAGCCUGAUCCAGCCAUGCCGCGUGCAUGAAGAAGGCCUUCGGGUUGUAAACUGCUUUUGUACGGAACGAAAAGGUCCUGGCUAAUACCCGGGGCUGAUGACGGUACCGAAAGAAUAAGCACCGGCUAACUACGUGCCAGCAGCCGCGGUAAUACGUAGGGUGCGAGCGUUAAUCGGAAUUACUGGGCGUAAAGCGUGCGCAGGCGGUUGUGUAAGACAGGUGUGAAAUCCCCGGGCUUAACCUGGGAACUGCGCUUGUGACUGCACGGCUAGAGUACGGCAGAGGGGGGUGGAAUUCCACGUGUAGCAGUGAAAUGCGUAGAGAUGUGGAGGAACACCGAUGGCGAAGGCAGCCCCCUGGGCCGAUACUGACGCUCAUGCACGAAAGCGUGGGGAGCAAACAGGAUUAGAUACCCUGGUAGUC
rnacentral:rRNA from 1 species